UACAGAGGGGGCAAGCGUUGUUCGGAAUUACUGGGCGUAAAGGGCGCGUAGGCGGCCUUCUAAGUCGAACGUGAAAUCCCCGGGCUCAACCCAGGAACUGCGUCCGAUACUGGUUGGCUUGAAUCCGGGAGAGGGAUGUGGAAUUCCAGGUGUAGCGGUGAAAUGCGUAGAUAUCGGGAGGAACAUCAGUGGCGAAGGCGGCUGCCUGGCCCAAUACUGACACUCAGGUGCGACAGCGUGGGGAGCAAACAGG
rnacentral:rRNA from 1 species